rnacentral:rRNA from 1 species
GAUGAACGCUGGCGGCGUGCCUAAUACAUGCAAGUCGAGCGAACAGACGAGGAGCUUGCUCCUCUGACGUUAGCGGCGGACGGGUGAGUAACACGUGGAUAACCUACCUAUAAGACUGGGAUAACUUCGGGAAACCGGAGCUAAUACCGGAUAAUAUAUUGAACCGCAUGGUUCAAUAGUGAAAGACGGUUUUGCUGUCACUUAUAGCUGGAUCCGCGCUGCAUUAGCUAGUUGGUAAGGUAACGGCUUACCAAGGCAACGAUGCGUAGCCGACCUGAGAGGGGGAUCGGCCACACUGGAACUGAGACGCGGUCCAGACUCCUACGGGAGGCAGCAGUAGGGAAUCUUCCGCAAUGGGCGAAAGCUUGACGGAGCAACGCCGCGUGAGUGAUGAAGGUCUUCGGAUCGUAAAACUCUGUUAUUGGGGAAGAACAAAUGUGUAAGUAACGAUGCACGUCUUGACGGUACCUAAUCAGAAAGCCACGGCUAACUACGUG